GUGCCAGCCGCCGCGGUAAUACGGAGGGGGCAAGCGUUAUUCGGAAUUACUGGGCGUAAAGCGCACGUAGGCGGCACUGUAAGUCACAGGUGAAAGCCCUUGGCUCAACCAAGGAAUCGCCUAUGAAACUGCAUUGCUUGAGUCCGGGAGGGGGGAGCGGAAUUCCCAGUGUAGCGGUGAAAUGCGUAGAUACUGGGAGGAACACCGGUGGCGAAGGCGGCUCCCUGGACCGGUACUGACGCUGAGGUGCGAAAGCGUGGGUAGCAAACAGGAUUAGAAACCCUCGUAGUCC
rnacentral:rRNA from 1 species